AGCAGCCGCGGUAAUUCCAGCUCCAAUAGCGUAUAUUAAAGUUGUUGCAGUUAAAAAGCUCGUAGUUGAAUUUCGGGGUCAGUAGGUCGGUCGUGCCACUGGUAUGAACUGGUUUUACUGAUUCCUCCCUCUUGAAGAACUGUAAUGCCAUUAAUUUGGUGUUGCAGGGAAUCAGGACUGUUACUUUGAAAAAAUUAGAGUGUUUAAAGCGGGCUCGCGCUUGAAUACAUUAGCAUGGAAUAAUGAAAUAGGACGUUUGAUUCUAUUUUGUGGUUUCUAGGGUCGACGUAAUGAUUAAUAGGGAUAGUUGGGGGCAUUAGUAUUCAAUUGUCAGAGGUGAAAUUCUUGGAUUUAUUGAAGACUAACUACUGCGAAAGCAUUUGCCAAGGAUGUUUCAUUAAUCAAGAACGAAGUUAGGGAUCGAAGACGAUCAGAUACCGUCGUAGUCUUAACCAUAAACUAUGCCGACUAGGAAUCAGACGAUGUUAUUUUUAANGUACUGUUGGCACCUUACGGGAACCAAAGUGUU
rnacentral:rRNA from 1 species